CCCCAGCAGAGCUGAGCUGGAGCCGUGCCCAUCCUGGUGUCCAGCCCUUACAUUUCAACCAGGUAAAAGCUUUGAAGAAGAGAGGCUUCUGAGUGCUUUUAGACAUUGAAAGAAAUAUCAAGGAGCAGUGUACGGAAGAUAGUAGACAAGCUUCCUUCUCACCAAACAAAAGCAAACUAAGCAUUCUGGCUGCAAAUUAGCACCUGUUUUAUCAACUUCACACUGGGCCCAACAGAACUUCUUUGAAAGGCCAAGACUGCUGUUUUUAGUCUUUCAGGAAACACAGCGACUGACUUCUUUCCUCCUCGUCAUGUACCUUCUUCUUUAUAAGGAAGAAAGGGUUAGAAAUAUUAUUCACAUUUUCAUCUUGUGUAUUGGGUGAGAAUUUGAUAGGGAAUGGCAGGCUGUGUGGGGUUCCUUCACAGAGUUACUCCUCUACCUAGGUCUAAAUGCCGUUCAUAUCAGCAACUCUUUCUUGGCUAGAAUUUGCUUUUAUUGGAGCCCAAAGACAGGUACAUCCAAGGAGGGGCAGGAGGGGCUCUGAGCAGAGUCCAGUAGUCCAGCCCUUAAGACAGCCUUCCUUGUCAUCCUAAUGGGGAAUGAAAAGAUUUUCAGUAACUUUUUUUGGUAUCUCUCCCCUCUUUCUCUUUAAAAUUAGAUUUAGACAUCUUUUAGACCCCACAGUUUGCAUCUUUAAACAUUAUAAUUGCAAAGCCAUGAACACUGCAAAUUCACAUGAUUUAUAGAUUUUUUACUUAGAAGGCGUGACCCCACCAGCAUUUAUGUUAUAUUCAUGAAUGGAAAUAUUUAUUUGUUUUUUUUUCCUUCCAAAAAUCAUUCUGGUGGAGAAUGCUCCACCUGCCCCAGCCCUUUGAUGGAUGAGGGCAGCCUCUCUGGGCUUGUAGAUCCAGGAGCCCACCUGCCCCUUAGGGAGGGAACACAAGGCAGGCAAACAGUGAUGCUGGAAGCCGUAUCCUGUCUGGGGCGCUUCAUGAAGCAUCCCAAAAUAUUCUCUCUGUUUAUGGGUUAUUGCAAAAUAAUUGAAACUGUGUUGGCGUGGGAAGCAUUUCUUUCGUAGGCAUUUAGGAUUGCUAGUGUCUCCAUAAAUUGUUAAAGGCAAAAAAUGGAAAUAGACUUUAGUCAUCCGGGGCCCCGUGUUUUGAAAGGACACAAGCAAAUCUGUCACAUAGACCCUCGAUCCUGUCACUGAUUUGGGCUAGCUGGAGUUCACAGUAAUCCCAACAGGAAGGGACCUGGGAAAAAGAGAAAUCAUCAGAAGAGGAAAGCAAACUGGAGGAUAAUGAUCGCAGUGAGCGUUAGGAGUGCAGGUGCUAGAGUAGAAAGGUGCGUGUGUGCAUGGGCGCCAGGGAAGAGUUGGGGAAGACAAGAAGCGGGUGGCAAGGGGAAGAAAGGGGGAAGCGUACUGGGGGCAGUAGGUGAUGCCACCAGGUAGGGGUGUCUCAGAAGCCUGCUCUGAGCCAAGUUCUCUGCUACAGACUUGAAUGUCCUCCAUCCUUAAAACCUUCAUUGUUAGUGGUGGUAAUUGGCCUAAGAGUCACACACCUAAAGAACAGCAGAGCUGGGGUUUGAACUCCCGUCCAUCUGGAAAGCCCAGGUCCUCAGCCUCCAGGCAGCUCUUUGCAUUAUGUGGUACCUGCGAUGCAGUGUUAGUCACCUAUCCCCGCUCCAGACCUGGAAGCUGAGGGUUCAAUCCUGAAAUGGACCGAGGGCAAGACCUUCAUUAUUUAGUUACAGGUCCUACCUCAAGCUUAGCCUCCUCUCAGAAUUGGGGCCCGGGGUGGCCAGGUGCUGGGGUGAAAGGGGAUAGCUCCGGAGGUCUAAACUCAUCGCUUCUUACAGAGAUACAUCAGACUGCAGGUCCCCCUAAUGAAGGCUCAGAAGCAUCCUUUCCACAGAUGAAGAAGAGCACACCUUGAUCUUUAUAAUCACUUGUAGCUCCAGCUCUGGGCUUUGGUAAAUCUGAUGUGUGCAUUAGUUUUAGUUUAAAACAUGAUGUGGCAUUUUGGAAAACAAAGCAAACAAAUAUAGCUCUUGGGGGGAUUUUUUUUUUUUAUGCCUUUGCUUGGGGAACUUAUGCAGGUAUUGUCAGCGAUUUUCCUUGAAGGACAGACUUGUAUAAUUGUAGUAACAUGUUUCUGAGAUACAGAGGAUGAAAACCACAACAAAAUAGAAACCUUUCAAGUUAGCACAUGCAUAAUGUAUAUUAAUGGCAGAGAGAAACGGAGCCAGGAAAAGGGAUUUUAAAGAAACACUGCAGACAUCAGGGGAGUGCCUGUGUCCUGUGGGUAUAGCGUAUGAGAUUUCUAGAAGUGAGUUGCUUACCGUCUGAGUGUGAGAAAUAAACUAGAACUUAAUCAUAACAGGCACUGCUGUCAUUUGGGUCAGCUAGUCCUAGCUAUAAUCUACAGAAGGGGUCCCCAGCACGGAGCCCUGGGAGGGGCGAUGCAGAUACAGCAAGAGGAUUUUAGUUAGGAUGACCUUGAAUUGUCUCAUGCCUGCCUUUCCCUGGUUCGCUGGGAACUCAUUUGGUUAUGUUUUUAUCAUCAUUCCAUUCUGUAAUGUUUAAAUGGGGUCCUUGGCUCCCUAAGUUCUGGGACUGGUAAAAUUCAAAUCAUGUGUUCUCUACUAAUAUUUAUUUAAAUGCACCACUAUGCAACAAACUUAACUAUGGAAAUGAUGGAAAUGAUGCUGGUGAUGAAAUCAUGAAACAGUUCUUUUUGAAAAAUCUGUUUUUGGGGGGAGGUAAUUAGGUAUAUUUAUUUUUUCAUGGAGGCCCUGGGGAUUGAACCGAGGACCUUGUGCAUGCUAGGCAUGCUCUCUACCACUGAGCUACACCCUCUCCCUGAAACUGAGUCCUUACAGUCUCAAUUUUGCUGCUGCCACUGGUUUAGCCAACCUGCGCAUCCCUCCAUCAAAUGAACUGGUUCAGGUAGCCGCAGUUCUCACCCCGGGCUGCACCCUGAUUCACCUGGAGAGCUUGAUCUGAUCCCUAGGUCUGGGUCCUGCCUGGAGACGCUGGUGCCGUCAGUCUGGGUGUGCUGGGGGCACGGGGAUCUGACAGUCAGCUCCAGUGGAGAAAGGAAACCUGUGAAUUUACAAAGCCCAGUCUAACCCUCCAGGGAACCCUCCCCCGUGGUCUGUAAUGAAUGUGACUGCCACUUUCUGACUCCUGGUCUGCGUCGUAUGUAACUAAGGACCAGAGUUCAGUUAAAUGUCUCAGUGAUCCUCAUAAAAACCUCAUCCAGCCCAAAGUACUACGUGGUAGAGCAUCUUUUCUGCCACUUGUAGUGUCCUUGUGUCAGUUUGUUCAUGGGCUCCAGGUAAAUGAUAUCCUGAUAGCAAACCAUGCAGAAUAGGGCUCUUGUGAACAGUACUGUCCUUCGUAUCUGCUUGCUGAAAAGCUUUCAUGUUUCCUGUAAACUUUAUUCACCCCAUGGCUACAGUUUUUGCCUCUCAUGAGAAACCCAGUUCUUGUCCAUGUGAUCUGCUGGGAAUUGUUAUUUGUGCUUCCACCGGAGGACUACAAAAAAAAAGAAGAAAGAAAGAAAGAAAAGAGAAGAAAAAGAAAAGAAGAAACACUGAGCAAAAAUAAAGGAGGAGAAAAAAUAAAAGAGGAAAAGCUUCUUGGGAAUCAGAACUUGUUCUUAAUUUUCCAGGCAAGAG